UGUUACGUGAAAAAUCACGUAGAUUCAUCCAAAUUCAUUUUGCCUUGACUUUACCUGACUAAGGUAAUGAUCACCUGACCAAAUAUAAUCACAAAAUUGAGACCCGGUAGUUUCCACUGUGGUGAGCUAAUCACUCUUACGUAAAAAUCACGUAGACACUUAUUCAUUCUGACAUGAGCUCUGACAUCUAGACUUUGUGUUCAUUCUGUAUUGUGCUCGUUUAUGAAGAUGGUGCUCAGUUAGUUUGCCGAAUAAUUUCAAUCGCUCGAUUCCAAGGUAUACAUUUUGGCAAUAUUUUGCGAAACGGUAAGCAGGAAGACCUUUUCGUAAACUUCAAGAACGUAACAGUUUUGGAAUAAUCUGGCAGCGGAUGAAUUGUUUUGUCAAAAGCAAAUCGUGCGUUUGAAUGUUCGAUUGCUACUGGACUAUAUCGUCGAUCCUUGUACUGCGACUUGCAAGAUCAAAGCACAUACGGCAGCAGGAAAUCAUGCAAUGUUUCCAUUCAGCUACCACCUACAAUGCUAUAUUGACUAAAGUGAUAGUAUCAUCCAUGCUUUUAACUCUAAUUUAUUUCACUUCUCUGAAAAUUGAAAAAAAGCUUCCAAAUGCCGAUGCAGAACCAGAUGGCUUCUAUUAAAAUAUGUUAAUAAUGUGUAUUUGAACAUCGUGUAGAAUCAAUUGGAAGACUGCGUAUAAACUACGAAAAAUUUCACGUAGCUGCUACGUGAAACUCCGGUGAAACGGAUGAAGUUCAUUAGUUCAUGCGUUCAUUCUGUGUUACCUAUGAUCCACGUAAGUGCUACGUGAAAAGUGCGAUGGAAAAAAGCCACGUAUGUUUUCACGUAGCAAUGACGUGUGGAUU